rnacentral:sRNA from 1 species
UGCUGGCCAUCUCUCCAGGUCUAGAGCCAGAGAAGAUGAUCUGAAAUUGUAGCAGGAGAAAUUGAGGUAGGAUACUAAGAAAGCUUUUCAGGAGUGGGGCUAGGCAAGAGGUGCAGCAUGAGGGAAUAAGAGUGAAUCCUCAGUAUCUAAGGGAGGUGGCAGGUGGCGGGGGACUUCUUUCUUUGGGUCAUCUUUGGUGGUGAUUUGACAGGAAGGAACAAAGUGGCUUCAAACAUUAUACAAGUCUCUAGUCUGUUCUGUGUCCUGUUUUCUUUCUCAUUCUUUCAGUGUGGAAUCUAUAUGACCCUGGGAGGGAUGUUGGUUGGAAGAAUGACCAGCUGAUGGAGAUGCUGCUGUAAUUAUUGGUGGUAAUAAUGGGCAGCAGUGAGCCACCCGGUGUGACAGUGUAGGAGAAAACAGUCCAAACUCCUGCCAAACUCUCUCUACUGAUGGCAAAUCAGAGGAGACUCAAAUUGUGUAUGAAAAAUAAUUUCAAGUUUAACAAACACAAGGAAACCGCAGGGUCCAUGUCAAAGCUGAUGAGCUAUUUCUGAAACUCGUGAAGAAUUGUGGUUUGUGUGGUCUAUGUCACGGCACCCUUGAGGGAGAGUGGGCAAUUGCCUGAACUUGGAGGCUGUGUCCUGUCCCCAGGCUGCUCCAGGGCUGCCUCCUUCCGACUGGGCCUUCUUAUCUGGGACUGUUGAGGGCAACAGGCCUUCCGAAGACCAGUGAAGAAGGAGGCCCUGCAAACAGGAGGCUGACAGGGUAGGAACGAGGCCAUGAUCCCUUUGCAGAAGGACAACCAGGAGGAGGGUGUCUGCCCCAUCUGCCAGGAGAGCCUGAAGGAGGCCGUGAGCACCAACUGCGGACAUCUCUUCUGUCGAGUGUGCCUGACACAGCAUGUGGAGAAGGCCUCAGCCUCUGGGGUCUUCUGCUGCCCC